rnacentral:rRNA from 1 species
UACGGGGGGGGCAAGCGUUGUUCGGAAUUACUGGGCGUAAAGGGCUCGUAGGCGGCCAACUAAGUCAUACGUGAAAUCCCUCGGCUUAACCGGGGAACUGCGUCUGAUACUGGAUGGCUUGAGUUCGGGAGAGGGAUGCGGAAUUCCAGGUGUAGCGGUGAAAUGCGUAGAUAUCUGGAGGAACACCGGUGGCGAAGGCGGCAUCCUGGACCGAUACUGACGCUGAGGAGCGAAAGCCAGGGGAGCCAAAGCGGG